UACGGCCAUAUCACGUUCAAGCAUCGGUUCUCGCACGAUAACUGAAGUUAAGUAAUGUCGAGCCUGGUCAGUAUCUACAUGGGUAACCACUUGGGAAUACCAGGUGCU